rnacentral:rRNA from 1 species
CCUACGGGAGGCAGCAGUGGGGAAUAUUGGGCAAUGGGCGCAAGCCUGCCCCAGCAAAGCCGCGGGAGGGACGAAGGCUUUCGGGUUGUAAACUUCUUUUGACAGGGAAGAGUAGAAGCCGUUACCUGUCGAAUAAGCCACGGCUAACUACGUGCCAGCAGCCGCGGUAAUACGUAGGUGGCAGGCGUUUUCCGGCUUUACUGGGUGUAAAGGGCGUGUAGCCGGGUUGACAAGUCAGAUGUGAAAUCCUGCGGCUUAACCGCAGAACUGCAUUUGAAACUGUGUAUCGUGAGUACUGGAGAGGCAGACGGAAUUCCUAGUGUAGCGGUGAAAUGCGUAGAUAUUAGGAGGAACACCAGUGGCGAAGGCGGUCUGCUGGACAGCAACUGACGGUGAGGCGCGAAAGCGUGGGGAGCAAACAGGAUUAGAUACCCGAGUAGUC